rnacentral:tRNA from 1 species
GGAGAGGUGACAGAGUGGUCUAAUGUGACGGUCUUGAAAACCGUUGAACCGCAAGGUUCCGUGGGUUCGAAUCCCACCCUCUCCG